UAAAUAUAGCAUUUUUGAGGCAACAACUACCAACAAUGACUUGCAUACAUAGUUCUUUCAGUCUAUCAAUGUGCUUACCAUAUUGUGAUACCAACAUUUAUAUUAACAACUAAACACGGAAUUGUUUGCCUUAUGUAUUUUCUAUGUAGUUUAAAAAUUUUAACCUACUGUAAUCCUUGCUCUAUCUUUGCUAAUAUUCUUAUUAACAUAAAACUAAAUAUUUUAGGAAAAAAGGGAAGCCUUCAACCUAUCCAAACAUAGACAUUUUUUCAAUGUAUCAUUCAAAUAUACUAGGAAAGAGAUUGUUGCAUAACUUUUUUGCCGAUAUGAUGCCUUAUUAGCUUUUACUACUGAUAUUACAUUAACAUUUAAUUUUGAUAAUGAUUACUAAAACACUUGCUGUUGUUGCAGAAUGAAAAUUGAACACUGAAAGUUAGGUACACUUUCACUGGGAUUAAUCACAAUCUACUCGACAACUACUUGACUAGAAAUAUAUCUCAAGGAUUUUUGUGAGAUUGUCAAUCCUCUACCACACCAUUUGACUAGAAAGGCAAAUAUGAUAGCUUGGACUUAUCAUCUGGAGGAUAUACUUGGAGGAAUGAUAGUUUGGCCUUUUCAUCUAUUGACAAUAAGAGAAAACUACUAUUAGUGCAUAUGGAAUGAUACUUCAUCUAUUUCUCGUUUGGUGACAAGUACUUGGAUUUUGCUUAUAAUAUGAUGGUUGACAAGUACUUGGAUUUUGAGUUCUCUUUGUUGUUAUUAUGUACAAACAAAAUUAGAGGUAGACAGAAACUCUUUACCUCUGCAAUCAAAAUGAUGGAAAUUGGAAAGAACAACAACUAUCUUUCCCAUAUAAUUCUCUAAUCUGAAUGGACUAUCUUAUCCUGUUGACAAUUGUGGGUGCUAAAGGGAAUAUAUAUCUCCCUAUUACUAGCAAGGCUAAGAAUCAUGGAAGCAACAUUCCUUGCCCACCCAAGGAAUCUGAUAGCAAGGCUAAGAAUCAUGGAAGCAACAUUCCUUGCCCACCCAAGGAAUCUGGAGGCUGUGGAAACGGUCUUCUUAAGUUAAGUUGCAGCAUACCAUUUGUUUGGUCUAAAACGGACUUCUCUUCUCUCUUUCAACUAUGAUAUUUAGUCUUGGUUUACUAAUAUAUUAUUUAUGUGCUUUUACAGUUUACAAAUCUCAAGUAUUCCAGAGUUGAAAUUGAUGAAGUGCGGUUUGAGUGG